AACGAACGCUGGCGGCGUGCCUAACACAUGCAAGUCGAGCGAGAAAAGGACCUUCGGGUCCCCAGUAAAGCGGCGGACGGGUGAGUAACACGUGAGUAACGUACCUUGGAGUGGGGGAUAACUACCCGAAAGGGUGGCUAAUACCGCAUGAGACCACAACUUCCUCGGAAGAAGAGGUCAAAGCCUUCGGGCGCUCUAAGAUCGGCUCGCGGACCAUUAGGUAGUUGGUGAGGUAACGGCUCACCAAGCCAGAGAUGGUUAGCUGGUCUGAGAGGAUGAUCAGCCACACUGGGACUGAGACACGGCCCAGACUCCUACGGGAGGCAGCAGUGGGGAAUCUUGCGCAAUGGGCGAAAGCCUGACGCAGCAACGCCGCGUGUGUGAUGAAGGCCCUAGGGUCGUAAAGCACUGUCAGGAGGGAAGAAUU
rnacentral:rRNA from 1 species